CUACAAUGCAACUGUAACACCCCUGACUAAUCCACACUAAACCUAACCAUGCCCACUUCCUACUCCAUCUACCUCACAAUUUAACCUGGCUUUUACCUGCCCACAGUUCAGGACUUAACCACCUGAAGCUCCUGAGUGCCUCCACCACACAAAAACAGGGUCCUGUUAAUAUCCUGCUAAAAACCAGCUCCCGUAGCUGAUCAACAUCCCUCUUCGCCCACUAGACUAAUUCCCUCUGUGGGACGAGCCCUAAAUCAUUGCCCCCAGCGUGAAUCACCAACACAUCUUGAGCAGCACCCGCAGCCACCCUCUGAAAAAUUUCCCCACUGAUGCUCUACCAACUAAAACCUCAGAAAACCACACCACACCAAACCUAACCACACCAAUGACACCAGAUCCUGAGGAAAGUCAGAAAGUCAGAAAUGAGCAGGAAGGGUUUGUAAGUAGCAGGAAGGGUCUGCAAAGAGCAGAAAGGGUCUACAUGGAGUUGGAAAGGGCAGCAAGGAGCAGAAAGGGACAUCAAGGAGCAGAAAUGGUCAGCAAGGAGUAUGAAGGGACAUAAGGAGCACAAAGGUAAAGGCGCAGAAAGAAUCAGAAUGAGCACAAAGGUAAAGUAGAAGAAGGAGAAGAAAG